CUGGGCUUGAAUUCUAUGGCAUAGUCCGUGGGUCGGUGAGGGGGAAGCUCAUCCACCCUCUCCUCACUGAAAACUUCAGCAAAGUCUCGGUAUUCCUCUGGCAUGUCAGGUGAAAUGAACAGUGAAGGAGACCACUUCAAAGAGAUUUAGAACAUUUCCAAAAUAAGGUGGCUCUGAUUAGAAGCCCCUCAAGUGACUGCGGAACCGUAAGAAUUUUUCAGUUUCUAUGAUAUGAACUGUCCCCACCUACAGUUGGAAGAUGCACAUCUACCUACCAGUCCAAGACCUCUAGGAAGAAAGGUGAC